ensembl:lncRNA
GCCAGAACACUCACGGGGGAUCACAUUGUUCUGCCAAUUACACCAAAUAUUAUCCUGCUCCAUUACUGAAGACCAUACAAGUUAACCGGACUCUUGCCCAUGCUGCUGCCUUUAAACUGGACCAUGUUCCCUGAAAAAUAAAUGUUUAGGCAUACAUUAGUUCAACACGUAAUUAAAGCAGGACAAACUGUAACUGUCCAAACAGCAUAAUGCAUAGGUGUAAUAUAAAGUUUAGACCACCAUCAGUCAGCUGAAGAUACUGGAGGUUAGUUUAGCUAAUUUAGUGUACAUGCUGCAAGAAAGUAGAAUGACACGUUCUCUUUCAAGUUGAUUUUGUAAUUUUUUUUAUUGAAUAAAUGAUUUUAAAAGGUAACAAUGUUUAAAACUACAUGAUCUUCACAGCCAUUGCUUACAUACUCAGAUAACCCAUCUAUAUAUAUUCUUUCAACCCUCCCCACACUUGUCUUUUGCAAUUUUUUGCUAAUUUCUUUUUUUAUGGUUUUUUUUUUUUUUUAUUGAGUCAUACUAUCAUAAUAAAUGCCCAUUUCAAGUCUUGUCACACUAACAGCUAUUCAAUAGGAAAAAAGGAAGGGUCUAGCUCUACAGGGGUUGGAUUUGAAGUUCCCAGUUCAUAUUAUUCCAUCAACAAUUUGUCAAGUUACUAAAGCAGAAGGAAAAAAACAAGGAUCCAAAAUGUUUUUUUGUUUUUUUUUAAAGAAAUGAAAUAAAAGUUGGUAUGAGGAGUUACACCAGGUAACCCUCCCAGCCCAUCAGGCCACUGCAACAGAAAAAAGUCAUUUUGUACAGUGACACGUCUUAAGAAGUCAGUGUCUCAAAAAUUCAGAACAUAGAAAACCACUAAAAUAAUUUUGAAACUAGAUCCAAAAUAUUCCUUUGAAAAGAAUUUAUUUUGAUGUACAAAAACAGUCAUUUUCCUUUUUUUUUUUCUUAGGUUUUUUUUUUUAUAAUAAAACUCUCAAACACAAGUUUAUUGUAGUUCUUAU